rnacentral:tRNA from 1 species
GGCCUUAUCGUCUAACGGUUAGGACACCAGGUUUUCAUCCUGGCAAUCCGGGUUCGAUUCCCAGUAAGGUCACCA